rnacentral:tRNA from 1 species
GCCUGGGUGGCUCAGUCGUUGAGCGUCUGCCUUCGGCUCAGGGCGUGAUCCCGGUGUUGUGGGAUCGAGCCCCACAUCAGGCU